rnacentral:rRNA from 1 species
GACGAACGCUGGCGGCGUGCCUAACACAUGCAAGUGGAGCGACGAACCAGACUUCGGUCUGGGGCCAAGCCGCGAACGGGUUAGUAACACGUGGGUAACCUGCCCCGAUGAUCGGGACAACCCGGGGAAACCCGGGCUAAUACCGAAUGUGGUCACUGCUCUCGAGAGCCGUGACGAACGGACGCUUCGGCCUCCGCAUCGGGAGGGGCCCGCGGCCCAUUAGCUAGUUGGUGAGGUAACGGCUUACCAAGGCUUCGAUGGGUAGCUGGUCUGAGAGGACGAUCAGCCACACUGGGACUGAGACACGGCCCAGACUCCUACGGGAGGCAGCAGUGGGGAAUCUUGCGCAAUGCGCGAAAGCGUGACGCAGCAACGCCGCGUGCGGGAAGACGGCCUUCGGGUUGUAAACCGCUUUCAGUUGGGACGAAGCUUCGCCGGUGAACAGCCGGCUGGAGUGACGGUACCUUCACAAGAAGCCCCGGCUAACUACGUGCCAGCAGCCGCAGUAAAAC